GCUGCGUCGGUAUCCUGCUCGGUUACGGCAAGGAAGGAGAAGGGGACGCUGCGCAGUGGGUCCCGUGCGUCAGCCAGACAAGGAGGGAAAAGGGGUGGGGCCUGCUGGUCAGCCGAAGAAGAGGGGAAGGGAUACGCACGCGCCUGGGCCUUGGCCUGGUUGGCUGGGCCGCAGGUUGGGCCGAGACGGGAGGAGAGAAAGGGGGCAGGGGGAGCUCUGGGCCACGCGUAGGGGGAAAAAGAGCAGGCCGGGGAGAGGGGCGCUGGCUGUGUUGGUUUUUUUUCUUUUCUGUUUUCUUUUCCCAAAAAGAAUUUUGAAAGCAAUUAAAUUCUAAUCAAAAGCUACAAGCAUAACAUAAGAUAUGCUACAGCAUGAAUGCAUAAUCAAGGUUGCUAAUCUUAUGAUAAAUUUUAUUUUCCACAAAAAUUAUUUAAGUGCUAAAUUUAAAUGCUCAUAAAAAAAUACUUAAUUAAAUUAAAUUAAUUCCUAUUAAUUAAAAUCAAAUUUUUGGGUGUUACAGGUAUAAACAUAGGGUUUUGCUUUUGCCGGUCUAAGUUGAGUAGAGAAGUGUUUGACCGGGUUUAGGAUAGAUAGCCGACUAUCAAGAGGGGAAAUCACGGUCAUCUCUCGAAUCAAGUGCUACUAGGUCCAUAUCUUGAGCAUAUGCAUUAGGAUCUAGUAAAGUGCUAACUUGAAUUCUUGAUAAAAAUAUUUGUGAAAAUGCUAACACACUUGCACAAGUGUUGUGACACUUUUGUGUUGGCACAUGGAAGCAAGGGAAGAAGUUGAAGAUCGUUUCGUGCAGCGCGUAUAGGCCGGACACGUCCGGUAUGAGGUCGGACGUGUCCGAGGUGAGCGUCUGGUGC
rnacentral:lncRNA from 1 species